AAAAAAAAAAAUAUAGCAAGUAGUGGAACUUGCAAAAAAAAAAAAUAUCGAAUAGUGGAACUUUGCAUAAAAUAUAUAUAGCGAGUAGUGGAACUUGCAAAUUUUUUUGAUAGAGGGCUCUGGCUUACGUUCACGUCAUGUCUAUUGUUAACAAUGAUUAAUAUAUAGUUUCAUUAAUGGAAUUUAAUAUCUUAAUCAUUAACUAAAAGCCAAGACGCAAACUAAUUAGAAUAAUAUUAUAAAACAUUUUUUGUUUUUGAAAUUCUUUUUUAGGUCAGAGGGGGAACCAUCUAUAACUAUCACAAAGCAUUGUGUGAUGUAUUUUGAGUUUUGGUUGUCAAAAAAAAAAGGGGGGGGGGGGACAACACGCCCCCUCCCCCAUUUACACCCCUUGAAACAAGGGGUGCGCUGCUAGUGAUUUUGAAAAGUAGUAAAAUAUAAUUUUUGAUUUGAAUACUAGAUUUCUUUUUAAUUAUAAAGAUAAAUAUUUAUAUAAAGAGUCACUUUUGAUAAUAGGGUGAUUGAAACCAUCACCCUUACAUCCACCCAAAGGCAAUGAUGAAUAUUCUAUAUUUGAUUGUGGUCUGAUAGCUAAUAACAAAAACAUCUUGCAUAUAAAAAAAUUUAUAUUUUCAUUAAAAAAAAACACUUUUUUAUAAAUAUAUUUUUUUAUAUCUUUUAUAUAUCUUUAUUGCCGGUAAGGAUGGUGGUUUUGUGCCCCCUCUUACUCCCCGGAUGCGCCCGUAAUCUAGAAAUCUUUGUAAAUUUGUAGAUGACUCUUGUAUCUAUCUUUUGAUACCAAGAUAUAAACAUUUGGAUAAGAAUUGGUUAAGUUAUAAUAGUUUUAGUUAAUAAAAAGUUUAUUUUGA
rnacentral:lncRNA from 1 species